rnacentral:rRNA from 1 species
UUACGGCCACAUCACAUUGAAAACACUGGUUUCCAUACAAUCACCAAAGUUAAGCAACGUCAAGCCUGGCCAGUACCUAGAUGGGUAACUGCUUGAGAAUACCAGGUGCUGCAAG